rnacentral:misc_RNA from 1 species
GAUGAAGAACGCAGCGAAAUGCGAUAAGUAAUGUGAAUUGCAAAUUCAGUGAAUCAUCGAGUCUUUGAACGCACAUUGCGCCCCCUGGUAUUCCGGGGGGCAUGCCUGUCCGAGCGUCAUUGCUGCCCUCAAGCACGGCUUGUGUGUUGGGCCCCGUCCUCCGAUUCCGGGGGACGGGCCCGAAAGGCAGCGGCGGCACCGCGUCCGGUCCUCGAGCGUAUGGGGCUUUGUCACCCGCUCUGUAGGCCCGGCCGGCGCUUGCCGAUCAACCCAAAUUUUUAUCCAGGUUGACCUCGGAUCAGGUAGGGAUACCCGCUGAACUUAAGCAUAUCAAUAAGCGGAGGA